rnacentral:rRNA from 1 species
AACUAACGCUAGCGGCGUGCCUAACACAUGCAAGUCGUACGAGAAAGUCGGCUUCGGUCGGCGAGUAAAGUGGCGCACGGGUGAGUAACGCGUGGAUAAUCUACCCUUGAGUUGGGAAUAACGUGCCGAAAGGUGCGCUAAUACCGAAUAAUACUGAGUGACUAAUGUUGCUUAGUCAAAGAAGGCCUCUGCUUGCAAGCUUUCGCUGAAGGAUGAGUCCGCGUACCAUUAGCUAGUUGGUAGGGUAAUGGCCUACCAAGGCAACGAUGGUUAGCUGGUCUGAGAGGAUGAUCAGCCACACUGGAACUGAGACACGGUCCAGACUCCUACGGGAGCAGCAGUGAGGAAUAUUGCGCAAUGGGGGCAACCCUGACGCAGCAACGCCGCGUGAGUGAGGAAGGUUUUCGGACCGUAAAGCUCUGUCGAGCGGGAAGAAAUGCAUGCUGGCUAAUAUCCAGCAUGCUUGACGGUACCGCU